AACUGGAACACUGUAUAUGCUUUUCAAGGUAUUUUACUAAGUGAACAAAUGAUCCUCCAUAAUCAUUUAAAUCCCAUGGUUGUGUGGUUUUGAUGUUGAUUUGUUUAUUUAGGACACUUGCAAUCGUUCACAGACUGUUGUGCCUACUAUUGCUCCUACAGUAGUUGGAGAGCGGAGGAUAUUUUUAAGUCCUGGAGCAGGUUGUGCCGGCCUUGCUGCACAGCUAGAACUAGGAUAUCGCCAAGCAAGGGAUGCCAUGCAUGCCAACAAUGGUAUAAAGGUUCUUUUGCAUCUUCUCCAUCCUAGGAUAUUUACACCUCCAGCUUCUCUCGACUGCCUACGCGCACUAGCAUGUCGAGUCCUGAUUGGUUUAGCCAGAGACAAUACAAUUGCACACAUAUUAACAAAGCUUCAAUGUGACUUGCAUCCUAAUAUGUGCCACGUAUAAUUAGAAUCCUUCCUAUCCUCAGUGCAAGCAUCUGUUUCAGUUUCUCAGUGUUCAUCGAUCACUAGAUGGAAGGUGCUCCUAUCAAUUUUAGAGAAGUUCUUCUCCAAGUUUCUGAACUUGCCUGAUGUAAAUAGGAAGUUGAGGAAGAUCAUCUCCAUCCUCUCAAGUGACCAGCCUCCCUGCCCUCAGCUGUAUCUGUACAACAUAGUUGACAAGGUCAUUCCAGCUAGGUCGGCAGAGUCUUUUAUUCAGGGGUAGAAGAAAUCUGGGAGAAAGGUGAAACCGAAUGCAAUGGUUAAGGACACGGCUUUCUUGGGGGCAUCGCUCUCUGAUCAUCUCAAACCUGACUUCAAUCCUCUUAUCAUGAAGAAUCCCCAUGAAACUAAUACAAAAUUGGAUUAG